UUUAUGGAGAGUUUGAUCCUGGCUCAGGAUGAACGCUGGCGGCGUGCCUAAUACAUGCAAGUCGAGCGGACGGACGAGAAGCUUGCUUCUCUGAUGUUAGCGGCGGACGGGUGAGUAACACGUGGAUAACCUACCUAUAAGACUGGGACAACUUCGGGAAACCGGAGCUAAUACCGGAUAAUAUUUUGAACCGCAUGGUUCAAAAGUGAAAGACGGUCUU
rnacentral:rRNA from 1 species